rnacentral:lncRNA from 1 species
AUUGCAAACACGAAGCUCUUCCAGAAACGCCCUCACAGACACCCCGGAAGUCACGUACCCACUCUGUAGGUGCCCCGGGGCACAGGCAAGCGGACGAGCCAGUUAUCCCUCAGAGCUCCUGCUGCCUCGCCCGCUUUCUCUCGGAAACGUGAAGUGUGGCCUCAGCUGAAAGUGAGGUGGGCCUCAUUCAAUCAGUUGAAUUCUUCAAGAGAGAAAAACUGAAGUCCCUUAGAAGGAAAGAGUUCUGCCUUCAGACUGUCUUUGAACUUAAGACUGUAGCGUCGACUCCUGCCGGAAUUUCCAGCCUGCUGGCCAGCUCUGCAGAUUCACACUUGCCAGCCUCCACAAUCGCAGCUGAGGCGGAGGAACCCUAAGGGCUCAUUGAGAUCAUGGAUUUGCCCUUCUAUGCAUUGAUGGAGCACCUGCUGCCCACAGCGUCUGUAUUUGGUGCUGGGAUGCUGAGCCUCCUUCUUUAUGAAUUUUUAAAAGGACACUGAGAUCUUCAAACAGAGGCUGCCACUCUAAGCAAACAGAUCCCGAGCCCUGGACUCUGAAGCUUGGGCCCAGUUCUCCUUUUCUCCGGGUUUCAGAUCCCACUGUGAAGUGAGGGGGCCCUUCUGAUUCAGGACCCGGGGAAGCCAGGGGCAUGAGCAUCGGUGCCUCUUCUCUAUUUCAAGGACCCUUCUGGGUGUAAAGUUCUCUGAGAUGCCUUACAUGGAUUCCCACCACUGCAAGAUAACCAUCGUAUGUAAAGUGUUAUGACCAGCAGAGCGUAAUUGAAGUGCAUUCCAGAGGGAAAGACAGCGGCUCAGAUGAGGCUUCAGGCUUGACCAAAUCUGACUGGCUGGCUGCCGGAGACACUGCUACCCAUCGGCCCUUAAUAAAUGGCCUCAUUUGAUCAUCAUGUGAUCUUCAGAAGCUGGGCUUGAUUAUCCUUGCCAAACAAAAUGCUGAAACCAAAAAUCUGAAAGGUAUUUCUUGCUAAGUAAGGGAGAGCUGUGCUUGUAGAGUGUGGUCACCCUGAACAGCGCAAACUGCUUGUGGAGCUCCAAGACUGGCAGACUUGGGAGGGGGAGCAUU